rnacentral:rRNA from 1 species
GAUCCUGGCUCAGGACGAACGCUGGCGGCGCGCCUAACACAUGCAAGUCGAACGAGAGAGAAGGAGCUUGCUUCUUCGAUCGAGUGGCGAACGGGUGAGUAACGCGUGAGGAACCUGCCUCAAAGGAGGGGGACAACAGUUGGAAACGACUGCUAAUACCGCAUAAGCCCACGGGUCGGCAUCGACCUGAGGGAAAAGGAGCAAUCCGCUUUGAGAUGGCCUCGCGUCCGAUUAGCUAGUUGGUGG